rnacentral:rRNA from 1 species
AUUAAACGCUGGCGGCAUGCCUUACACAUGCAAGUCGAACGGCAGCACGGGGGCAACCCUGGUGGCGAGUGGCGGACGGGUGAGUAAUGCAUCGGAACGUGCCCUGAAGUGGGGGGAUAACGCAGCGAAAGCUACGCUAAUACCGCAUAUUCUGUGAGCAGGAAAGCAGGGGAUCGCAAGACCUUGCGCUUUGGGAGCGGCCGAUGUCGGAUUAGCUAGUUGGUGGGGUAAAGGCCUACCAAGGCGACGAUCCGUAGCGGGUCUGAGAGGAUGAUCCGCCACACUGGGACUGAGACACGGCCCAGACUCCUACGGGAGGCAGCAGUGGGGAAUUUUGGACAAUGGGCGGAAGCCUGAUCCAGCCAUGCCGCGUGAGUGAAGAAGGCCUUCGGGUUGGUUAAAGACGUCUUUCGGUCGGGGAAGGAAAUUAGCUUGGGUUAAGUACCCUCGAGUAGAUGACGGUACCGAACGUAAGAAGACACCGGCGUAACU